UCGAGCGGACUAGAAGUGGAACUUGUUCCACUGAGGUUAGCGGCGGACGGGUGAGUAACACGUAGGCAACCUGCCCAUAAGACUGGGAUAACUACCGGAAACGGUAGCUAAUACCGGAUAGGUUCUACUCUCGCAUGAGAGAAGAAAGAAAGACGGAGCAAUCUGUCACUUAUGGAUGGGCCUGCGGCGCAUUAGCUAGUUGGUGGGGUAAUGGCUCACCAAGGCGACGAUGCGUAGCCGACCUGAGAGGGUGAUCGGCCACACUGGGACUGAGACACGGCCCAGACUCCUACGGGAGGCAGCAGUAGGGAAUCUUCCGCAAUGGGCGAAAGCCUGACGGAGCAACGCCGCGUGAGUGAUGAAGGUUUUCGGAUCGUAAAGCUCUGUUGCCAGGGAAGAACAUCCUUGAGAGUAACUGCUCAAGGAAUGACGGUACCUGAGAAGAAGCCCCGGCUAACUACGUGCCAGCAGCCGCGGUAAUACGUAGGGGGCAAGCGUUGUCCGGAAUUAUUGGGCGUAAGCGCGCGCAGGCGGUUAUUUAAGUUGGGUGUUAAUCCCGGGCUCACCUCGGUCGCACCCAAACUGGGUAACUUGAGUACAGAAAAGAAGAGUGGAAUUCCACGUGUAGCGGUGAAUGCGUAAAUGUGGAGGACACCAGUGGCGAAGGCGAUC
rnacentral:rRNA from 1 species